rnacentral:rRNA from 1 species
UAAAGAAAUAAUCUCGAGGGCCGAUGGAAAGGAGAGAGGGUUGUAGCUGGCGUAAGCACGUGCACGCCCUCUUUCUCGACCUAGGUCCUUAUGGGCGCGGGGCGACCCGCGUCUUCAUAAGCCCCUUCGUGUAGAAAGUCUAUGAAUGUUUUUAUUAUCAUCGACUCGCGACUUCUAGGAGACGCGAUUCUUUGAGACAAAAGUUAUUACAACUUUCAGCAAUGGAUCUCUUGGCUCUCGCAUCGAUGAAGAACGCAGCGAAUCGCGAUAUGUAAUGUGAAUUGCAGAUCUACAGUGAAUCAUCGAAUCUUUGAACGCACCUUGCGCUUAUCGGUGUUCCGAUGAGCAUGCCUGUUUGAGCGUCAUUAAAUUCUCAACCCCUCUCGAUUUGCUUCGAGAGGGUGCUUGGAUNGUGGAGGCUGCCGGAGACCUGUUUUUUCAGGACUCGGGCUCCUCUGAAAUGUAUUGGCUUGCGGUCGACUUUCGACUGUGCAUGACAAGGCCUUUGGCGUGAUAAUGAUCGCCGCUCGCCGAAGUGCACGAACGAAUGGUCUCGUGCCUCUAAUCAGUCGAUGNCUUUUCGAAGGCGUCUUCCUNAUUGACGUUUGACCUCAAAUCAGGUAGGACUACCCGCUGAACUUAAGCAUAUCAAUAAGCGGAGGAAAAGAAACUAACAAGGAUUCCCCUAGUAACUGCGAGUGAACCGGGAAAAGCUCAAAUUUUGAAUCUGGCGGUCCUUC